UACGAAGGGGGCUAGCGUUGUUCGGAAUUACUGGGCGUAAAGCACACGUAGGCGGAUUGUUAAGUUAGGGGUGAAAUCCCGGGGCUCAACCCCGGAACUGCCUUUGAUACUGGGUAUCUGGAGUCCGGAAGAGGUGAGUGGAAUUCCGAGUGUAGAGGUGAAAUUCGUAGAUAUUCGGAGGAACACCAGUGGCGAAGGCGGCUCACUGGUCCGGUACUGACGCUGAGGUGCGAAAGCGUGGGGAGCAAACAGG
rnacentral:rRNA from 1 species